GAACAUUUUGUCCUCUUUUAAGUGUGCUUGCAUGAGAAGCAGAAGUGUCUGUGGUUUUUUGUGUGUGUGUGCAUCGGAGGUCUGAAGGUCAACGUCUGGUUUCGGUCUUGCAGACAGCUCCCACACUGGAAAGUCCCCGCUAUAUAUACAUUUCUUCUUUAUUCUGUUUGUAUAACAUGCCCAUAUUAAGAGUGUCUUCCUUCUUCUGUAUAACUUUUAAAGGUCAGCCCACUAUGUAUAUAUGUCCCUGCCCAUCCUGUAUUUGUCAGGCUUGCAGAAUAAACCAUUCUAACUACAGUUUGGUCUCUUCUCAUGUCUCCGGGUCGACCUGCUGAACUUUGCUGAAUCUGGUGCCUAAUAUAGGGGAAUCUUACAGACUUGGGGGCUUCGUCCGGGAUACAUCUGAUCAGACUCUCUUUGUUUUACAGAUUUUGGGGGCCCCCACAUCAGCUAGCACCUCCACGCAGCAUAACUACUAGAAGGAUCAGCAUGAAGUGGCUAUGGACAUUGGGACUGUUUCUCUUUCUUGUUGCUCAAGCUAAUGCAGCCAGGCUGAAACGCUGGACACAUGAUCAUGAAUUUGGAUGGGCAGAGGAUGGGGCUGACAAUCCAAUUGAAAUAAUAUGUGGUAUCAAUAUGUAAAUGAGUUUUAGCUAGGUCAUAUAAUGUAUCUGGUUGUUAUGUAUGUUCUGUUAUGCCUCAUUCAGCCAAACAAACCCCUCUUUAUGCCAAACCCAUGAAUAAGACCUCUGCUAAAUGUUUUGCCAGUUUUGCAGGAUCAGGGUACCAGGACCCAUAUAUAAUUGUCGAUGACUACGAUCCAUACCGGAUUGGCAUUGGAAAUGGUACAUGUGAUGCUCUAUUUUGGGUAAAAUUUGGCCACGCUAAACCCGCACCUAUUAGCCACAAGGUUUUUAUUAACCAUUCUAUUACACACCCUGUGUGUUAUAACCAGACCAUGGGCUCUCAUUUCAUGGGAAGCACUGUUAACUGUCAACAAAUUGCCUCCUCGGGAGAAGGGGCCCCAGUUUAUGUGUCAGGACCCUCAAACGGCACUUAUGUGGUCCAGGGUGGGUGGUGGUUGUGUGGAAAAAACGCCUACAUGUCCCUACCGGCCAACUGGACGGGGCAGUGUGCCCCUGUGCAUGUGACUGAUCACACUUUUAUUGUGACAGCCCAGGUCCUGUCAGCGCAGCGAAGAGUUAAACGCAGUGUCCCUGAAAUGAAGCCCCAUGACUCUGUAUGGGGUACUGACGUGCCCGAGGAUUUUAAAUUAUGGACCACUGGUAACAAAGUGGUAUUGGCUCUAUUUCCGCAAAUAGGUGUGGGAAAAGCUCUACUAAGAAUUGAGACCCUGGACUAUCGCAUGGGCCUAUUCCUGAAUGCCUCAAAAAUAAUUAAUGAGGCCCAGAAUAAGGAGCUGGGUAAUCUACGUACCAUGGUUUUG